rnacentral:rRNA from 1 species
GAACGUACGCUGGCGGCACGCCUAACACAUGCAAGUCGAACGAAGUAGCAAUACUUAGUGGCAGACGGGUGAGUAACAUGUAGGUAUCUGCCCUUUGGCCUGGAAUAACACGAGGAAACUUGUGCUAAUACCGGAUAAGUCUUUACGGAGAAAGCUUUAUGCACCAUUGGAUGAGCCUGCACUUGAUUAGUUUGUUGGUGGGGUAAUGGCCUACCAAGACUGUGAUCAAUAGCUGAUUUGAGAGGAUGAUCAGCCACAUUGGGACUGAGACACGGCCCAAACUCCUACGGGAGGCAGCAGUGGGGAAUCUUGCACAAUGGAGGAAACUCUGAUGCAGCGAUGCCGCGUGAGUGAAGAAGGCCCUUGGGUUGUAAAGCUCUUUCGUCGGGGAAGAAAAUGACUGUACCCGAAUAAGAAGGUCCGGCUAACUUCGUGCCAGCAGCCGCGGUAAUACGAAGGGACCUAGCGUAGUUCGGAAUUACUGGGCUUAAAGAGUUCGUAGGUGGUUGAAAAAGUUAGUGGUGAAAUCCCAGAGCUUAACUCUGGAACUGCCAUUAAAACUUUUCAGCUAGAGUAUGAUAGAGGAAAGCAGAAUUUCUAGUGUAGAGGUGAAAUUCGUAGAUAUUAGAAAGAAUACCAAUUGCGAAGGCAGCUUUCUGGAUCAUUACUGACACUGAGGAACGAAAGCAUGGGUAGCGAAGAGGAUUAGAUACCCUCGUAGUCCAUGCCGUAAACGAUGUGUGUUAGACGUUGGAAAUUUAUUUUCAGUGUCGCAGGGAAACCGAUAAACACACCGCCUGGGGAGUACGACCGCAAGGUUAAAACUCAAAUGAAUUGACGGGGACCCGCACAAGUAGUGGAGCAUGUGGUUUAAUUCGAAGAUACGCGCAGAACCUUACCAACACUUGACAUGUUCGUCGCGACUCUAAGAGAUUAGAGUUUUCGGUUCGGCCGGACGAAACACAGGUGCUGCAUGGCUGUCGUCAGCUCGUGUCGUGAGAUGUUGGGUUAAGUCCCGCAACGAGCGCAACCCUCACUUUUAGUUGCCAUCAUUAAGUUGGGCACUCUGAAAGAACUGCCAGUGAUAAGCUGGAGGAAGGUGGGGAUGACGUCAAGUCCUCAUGGCCCUUACGUGUUGGGCUACACACGUGCUACAAUGGUAUCUACAACAGGAAGCAAGACUGCGAAGUUAAGCAAAUCCCUAAAAGAUACCUCAGUUCGGAUUGCACUCUGCAACUCGAGUGCAUGAAGCUGGAAUUACUAGUAAUCGUGGAUCAGCGUGCCACGGUGAAUGCGUUCCCGGGUCUUGUACACACCGC